rfam:Ipomoea nil DNA, scaffold: scaffold1570, cultivar: Tokyo-kokei standard.
GGUUUCAUGUUGAAGUUGGUUAUCACAUCAGUCUAACACACUUAAGGUCUUUGGUUCAAGUCCGGGCGAAGCCA